rnacentral:rRNA from 1 species
UGGCGGGGCAACGGCCCACCAAGCCGACGAUCAGUAGGGGUUCUGAGAGGAAGGUCCCCCACAUUGGAACUGAGACACGGUCCAAACUCCUACGGGAGGCAGCAGUGAGGAAUAUUGGUCAAUGGGCGGGAGCCUGAACCAGCCAAGUAGCGUGCAGGAUGACGGCCCUAUGGGUUGUAAACUGCUUUUGCGCGGGGAUAAAGUGCGCCACGUGUGGCUCAUUGCAGGUACCGCGCGAAUAAGGACCGGCUAAUUCCGUGCCAGCAGCCGCGGUAAUACGGAAGGUCCGGGCGUUAUCCGGAUUCAUUGGGUUUAAAGGGAGCGCAGGCCGCCCCUUAAGCGUGUUGUGAAAUGCCGCGGCUCAACCGUGGCACUGCAGCGCGAACUGGGGGGCUUGAGUGCGCGCAGCGCAGGCGGAACUCGUGGUGUAGCGGUGAAAUGCUUA